CCUACGGGAGGCAGCAGUCGGGAAUCUUGCGCAAUGGGCGAAAGCCUGACGCAGCAACACCGUGUGAGCGACGAAGGCCUUCGGGUCGUAAAGCUCUGUUGUUGGGGACGAAGGGUUAGGGGUUAAUAGCCCCGAGCCUGACGGUACCCUUCGAGGAAGCCCCGGCUAACUACGUGCCAGCAGCCGCGGUAAUACGUAGGGGGCGAGCGUUGUCCGGAAUUAUUGGGCGUAAAGAGCGUGUAGGCGGUUCGGUAAGUCUGCCGUGAAAACCCAGGGCUCAACCCUGGGCGUGCGGUGGAUACUGCCGGGCUAGAGGGUGGUAGAGGCGAGUGGAAUUCCCGGUGUAGCGGUGAAAUGCGCAGAUAUCGGGAGGAACACCAGUAGCGAAGGCGGCUCGCUGGGCCAUACCUGACGCUGAGACGCGAAAGCGUGGGGAGCAAACAGGAUUAGAUACCCUGGUAGUCCUAGCCGUAAACGAUGGACACUAGGUGUGGGGGGAGUCGAAUCUGUCUGUGCCGCAGCCAACGCGAUAAGUGUUCCGCCUGGGGAGUACGGCCGCAAGGCUAAAACUCAAAAGAAUUGACGGGGGCCCGCACGAGCAGCGGAGCAUGUUCUUUAAUUCGAUGCAACGCGAAGAACCUUACCUGGACUUGACAUGGUGCUGCAAGCGCACGGAAACGUGUGACCUUCGAGGGUGCACCACAGAUGCUGCAUGGCUGUCGCCAGCUCGUGUCGUGAGAUGUUGGGUUAAGUCCCGCAACGAGCGCAACCCCCGUCGCAUGUUGCCAGCAUUUAGUUGGGGACUCAUGUGAGACUGCCGGUGACAAACCGGAGGAAGGUGGGGAUGACGUCCAGUCAUCCUGGCUCUUACGUCCAGGGCUAGAAACGUGCUACAAUGGGCGCAUACAAAGGGCUGCAAGACCGUAAGGUGGAGCGAAUCUCUCAAAUGCGUCUAAGUUCGGACCGGGGUC
rnacentral:rRNA from 1 species